UGAAAUAAUUUCCAUAUUUAGAGAAUAAUAAGUGACAGGAUUUUUAUAGUUUUUCAUGAUCUUUUUCUAUCUUUAACCUGGUGGCAGAGGAAAUUUCCAUUUUUUAGUGGAAGUUUACAGAAUAUGACUAUGCAAUACACUGCUGUACCGAGUCUUUGGGUAGGCAGGUGAAUAUUUUACAAACAAAAACCCAGCACCUGACCUUACCCAGGUCACCUCUUCCUUCCUUCCUUCUGGCCCUGCUGGGAUUCUGAUCCCCACCCCACAUUUACUUUCUCUCUCCAACCCAGUUCCUUUCAUACCUGCAGUCAAGAGAACAACCUGGCCAUAACAUACCUUACAAUGGUGUCAGGCUGGCAUACAUCACUGCCCACAACUUUGCUGGUGUUUGUUCAACCAAGAGGUAGUCUAAGUCCAGAGGGAAUCCCAAGGAGGUGUUCUGCAUGGCAGCUGGGAGCAUUUUGGUUUCCGAAAAGGACUGCCCCUCCUUGGAAUUGCUGCCUAUUUGAGACCAAGUAAUUGUCAAAUGGCUUACAGAGAAAAUGAAUAACCUCUUUUAAAGACCUGUGAAUGGAUUUGAGGCUACUACCUAAAGUUAUAGCAGCCGGCCAAAGCUGAAGAAGCAGGAAUCAUAAGGAGGUAGAUGAGAAAGCUGCCCUGAACACAUCCCUGCUGUCCUUCUGUACAAUAAGGCUCUUAGCCUCGGUGGACUGAGCUGGGGAUGAGGAGCAUGUGUGUGUGUGUGUGUGUGUGUGUGUGAUAUCACAAACACCCUGUGUAUCAGUGGGUUCCACAUCUGUAGAUUCAACCAACCACGGAUGAAAAAUAUUCAGAAAAAAAAACGGGUUUGUACUGAACAUGUGAAGACUUUUCCUAGUCAUUCC
rnacentral:lncRNA from 1 species